rnacentral:rRNA from 1 species
UACAGAGGGUGCAAGCGUUAAUCGGAUUUACUGGGCGUAAAGCGUGCGUAGGUGGCGAUUUAAGUCGGAUGUGAAAGCCCUGGGCUUAACCUGGGAACUGCAUUCGAUACUGGGUUGCUAGAGAUCGGUGAGAGGCAGCGGAAUUCCGGGUGUAGCGGUGAAAUGCGUAGAUAUCCGGAGAACACCGAUGGCGAAGGCAAACUGCCUGGGCCUGGAUCUGACACUGAGGCACGAAAGCGUGGGUAGCAACAGGG